rnacentral:rRNA from 1 species
AUGAACAUUUUGGCCUGGAACUGUCGGGGACUGGGGUUGGACCCGACGGUUGGCGAACUGAGGGACCUGGUUAGGUCAUACAACCCAGCGGUGGUGUUCUUAUCAGAAACUAAAAAAACAGUAGGAGCGAUGGAAAGAUUGAAGUGGAGUCUAGGUUUUAGGCACGGGGUUGCCGUUAGCUGUAAGGGAAAGAGUGGAGGUCUGGCGUUAUGGUGGAAAGAUCAUGUGGAGGUAACGGUG